UGUAAACAUCGGUAUAUUUUGACCCGAAGUUACAUUGCAAAGUGGAUCCCUGUCAAUGGCAUAACUGUCACAUGCUCUUAUUGGUCAAGCGUAAAUCAUAAACAGCGGCGUUGGCGGGGCGGAGAACAGAAAUACGGAGUAGCACUUCCAUUUUUCAGCCACCGAGUGCGAGUCUCAGCCAGCUAGGGUUUUGCUGCGAUUCCAGAGAGCGAGGGAAGAGCGAGACUUCUGUAGGCUUUAGCCAUGGCGACCACCAAAGUUCAGAGGAUUAUGACUCAACCAUUAAAUCUCGCAUUCAGAUAUGGCUUUUUGAACAGAAGGAUCUUAGAAUCGAAGGCCGCAUUAUUUGCUAUGUUGGGUGGAGUUUGCAGCUGGAUGUCAUGACUCAUGAGUUUGGUCUCACUGGAAAAUGAAUUUGGUUCUUGAUGAUGCUGAGGAAGGAAAUAUAAAGAAGAGCAGAAAGCAACUAGGACGCAUACUUUUGAAAGGCGACAAUAUCACCCUUAUGAUGAAUACUUAUAUGGGGAAGUAACAUCAUGGAAGUUGUGUGCCGAGCUCACCCGCACAUGUUGUGUUAUUAUGGCCAUGUGAUUGAAGAUCUUGUGAACAAAUAUCGUCACCAUAAUGUAUCCUAGGGACUAGAGCACCAACACCAGGCAUGUAGUUAUCUUUGAUGCACUAUUGCAUUGUCUUUGAGCAGGGUAUUGACUGUUGUAUACAUAACUAGACGUUCAGCUUUGAUUUGAAUAGCAUAUAUCAAUGAUGUUCCUGAUACUAUUCUUUUCCCCUAUUCAUAUGGCAGGAAAAUGAUGUUUGUGCUGCAACUUCGUUGGCGCAUAUUGUAUGACAAAAUUACCCUUAUUGCAGCUUUCUUUCCUUGGAAUGGAGGUGUUUAAAUGCCUUGUGC